rnacentral:rRNA from 1 species
AUUGAACGCUGGCGGCAGGCCUAACACAUGCAAGUCGAGCGGAUGAAGUGCGCUUGCUCCUGGAUUCAGCGGCGGACGGGUGAGUAAUGCCUAUGAAUCUGCCUGGUAGUGGGGGAUAACGUCCGGAAACGGGCGCUAAUACCGCAUACGUCCUGAGGGAGAAAGUGGUGGAUCUUCGGACCUCACGCUAUCAGAUGAGCCUAGGUCGGAUUAGCUAGUUGGUGGGGUAAAGGCCUACCAAGGCGACGAUCCGUAACUGGUCUGAGAGGAUGAUCAGUCACACUGGAACUGAGACACGGUCCAGACUCCUACGGGAGGCAGCAGUGGGGAAUAUUGGACAAUGGGCGAAAGCCUGAUCCAGCCAUGCCGCGUGUGUGAAGAAGGUCUUCGGAUUGUAAAGCACUUUAAGUUGGGAGGAAGGGCAGUAAGUUAAUACCUUGCUGUUUUGACGUUACCAACAGAAUAAGCACCGGCUAACUUCGUG